rnacentral:rRNA from 1 species
GUGGGGAAUAUUCCGCAAUGGACGAAAGUCUGACGGAGCAACGCCGCGUGAGUGAUGAAGGUUUUCGGACUGUAAAGCUCUGUUGUUUAGGACGAAAGUGCCUGUUGCAAAUAGUUACAGGUAUUGACGGUACUGAACGAGGAAGCCACGGCUAACUACGUGCCAGCAGCCGCGGUAAUACGUAGGUGGCAAGCGUUGUCCGGAAUUAUUGGGCGUAAAGAGCAUGUAGGCGGGAAUCUAAGUCUGUUGUGAAAAUGCGGGGCUCAACCCCGUAUUGGGAUGGAAACUGGGUUUCUUGAGUGCAGGAGAGGAAAGGGGAAUUCCCAGUGUAGCGGUGAAAUGCGUAGAUAUUGGGAGGAACACCAGUGGCGAAGGCGCCUUUCUGGACUGUGUCUGACGCUGAGAUGCGAAAGCCAGGGUAGCGAACGGGAUUAGAAACCCGGGUAGUCC